ncrna:unclassified sequences DTF2693 RNA
GAUCAUUGACAUACUGAUAAGGCUAAAAACAAAGAGAUAACUAACGUAGAGAGGCUCUAAGCCCUCUACACGUGACUAACAAUACAGCUUGCAAGUCUAGACCUAUCGUGCUAGACGCUGAACGGCUAACGACCGCCCCCCGCCAAUCGUAAAGGGCUUGCAGGCAC